GAUCAUGGCUCAGGAUGAACGCUGGCGGCGUGCUUAACACAUGCAAGUCGAACGAAGCACUUUAUUACGAUUUCUUCGGAAUGACGAUUUGGUGACUGAGUGGCGGACGGGUGGGUAACGCGUGGGUAACCUGCCUCAUACAGGGGGAUAACAGUUGGAAACGGCUGCUAAUACCGCAUAAGCGCACAGGGUCGCAUGACCUGGUGUGAAAAACUCCGGUGGUAUGAGAUGGACCCGCGUUGG
rnacentral:rRNA from 1 species